rnacentral:misc_RNA from 1 species
GAUGAAGAACGUAGCGAAAUGCGAUAAGUAAUGUGAAUUGCAGAAUUCAGUGAAUCAUCGAAUGUUUGAACGCGCAUUGCGUCCCCCAGUAUUCUGGCGGGCAUGCCUGUUCGAGCGUCAUUUCAACCAUCAAGCCCUGCUUGUGUUGGGGUCCUGCGGCUGCCCGCAGGCCCUGAAAACCAGUGGCGGGCUCGCUAGUCACACCGAGCGCAGUAGCACAUCUCGCUCAGGGCGUGCGGCGGGCUCCAGCCGUUAAAGCACCCACCUUUCGCAAGGUUGACCUCGGAUCAGGUAGGAAUACCCGCUGAACUUAAGCAUAUCAAUAAGCGGAGGA